rnacentral:rRNA from 1 species
GACGAACGCUGGCGGCGUGCUUAACACAUGCAAGUCGAACGGAAAGGCCCUGCUUUUGUGGUGUGCUCGAGUGGCGAACGGGUGAGUAACACGUGAGUAACCUGCCCUUGACUUUUGGAUAACUUCAGGAAACUGGGGCUAAUACCGGAUUGGAGCCCCCGCUUCAUGGUUGGCGUUGGAAAGUUUCGGCGGUGGGGGAGGGACCCGCGGGUUAGCAGCUUGGUGGUGGGGCGGCGGGCUACCAAGGCUUUGGCGGGUCGCCGGCCUGAGAGGGUGACCGGGGACAUGGGGACGGAGGUACGGGCCGGAGUAGUGCGGGAGGCAGCAGUGGGGAGUAUUGCACGAUGGGCGGAAGCCGGAUGCAGGAACGCCGCGUGCGGGAUGACGGCCUUCGGGUUGUAAGGCGCUUUCGCCUGUGACGAAGGGUGCGUGACGGUAAUGGGGAAAGAAGGACCGGCUAACUACGUG